AUGUCUGAUGGAGUCAUUAACGGU
rnacentral:siRNA from 1 species